rnacentral:rRNA from 1 species
UACGUAGGGCGCAAGCGUUUGUCCGGAAUUAUUGGGCGUAAAGAGCUCGUAGGCGGUCUGUUGCGUCCGCUGUGAAAACUCGGGGCUUAACCCCGAGCCUGCAGUGGAUACGGGCAGACUAGAGGUAGGUAGGGGAGAAUGGAAUUCCUGGUGUAGCGGUGAAAUGCGCAGAUAUCAGGAAGAACACCCGUGGCGAAAGCGGCUCUCUGGAACGGUACUGACGCUGAGACGCGAAAGCGUGGGGAGCGAACAGG